rnacentral:lncRNA from 1 species
CGAUUGGUCCUUUUUCUUUUUAGCCUUGGAUUGCUCGUCUUCCUCAUCCAAAUCAGAAUCAAGGACAAGCCUCCUUCUCAUGCAGCCAAGCCUUUUUCGCUUUAGACUCUCACUCAUGGCGGGUUUGGAGCAAGACCAAGCUUGGUCAAACCUUCGCCUUCUUCUUGGGCAGCAGCCACGCCUCCUAUUGGUCUUCCAAGACUGAAAUCGGGCUCAUGCACUUUAAAUCCUC